CCUACGGGUGGCAGCAGUGAGGAAUAUUGGGCAAUGGAGGCAACUCUGACCCAGCCAUGCCGCGUGAGUGACGAAUGUCCUCUGAUUUUUAAGCUCCUUCGGUUUGGACGAAAAUUACAGUAUCAUCUAAAGAAUCCCCGGCCAACUUCGUUCCAGCAGCCGCGGUUAUACGGAGGGGGCAAGCGUUGUUCGGAAUUACUGGGCUUAAAGGGAAUGUAGGCGGUUUCGUAAGAUAGUGGUGAAAGUCCAGAGAUUAAAUUUGGAAUUGCCAUUAUAACUAUUAGAAUAGAAUUACUGAGAGGAUGGUGGAAUACCCAGUGGAGAGGUGAAAUGCGUAGAUAUUGGGUAGAACACCAGUGGCGAAGGCGACUAUCUGGAUGUACAUUGACGCUGAGGCUCGAAAGCGUGGGGAUCAAACAGGAUUAGAUACCCCAGUAGUC
rnacentral:rRNA from 1 species